rnacentral:tRNA from 4 species
GGACGGUUAGCUCAGUUGGUAGAGCGGCUCGUUUACACCGAGUAGGUCGCAGGUUCGAGUCCUGCACCGUCCACCA